rnacentral:sRNA from 1 species
AAAAGCAUGGAGGCAUGACACAGCACGCUGUGUGCAGGGAAUCAUGGUUAAUUUUGUAGGAAAUCUCCAGAGUGGUGCCAGAGAUAUUCCUGGAAAGGUUGCCUGGAACUAGAUCAUGGAAGACUCUGAGAUUUGCCCACCUGAUGACCUUGCCAGCUUGCCAUCAUGCAAAGAAAAUCCUGAAGAUGUUCUGAGCCCAACUUCAGUAGCUACUUACCUGAGUUCCAAGAGUCAGCCUUCUGCUAAAGUCAGUGUGAUGGGGACUGAUCAGUCAGAGAGCAUUAAUACCUCAAAUGAGACAGAAUACUUAAAACAGAAAAUCCAUGACUUGGAAACUGAGCUGGAAGGCUACCAGAAUUUCAUAUUUCAGCUUCAAAAGCACUCCCAGUGCAGUGAGGCCAUUAUUACAGUUUUGUGUGGGACAGAAGGGGCCCAGGAUGGCUUGAGCAAGCCCAAGAGUGGUUCUGAUGAGGAAGAAAUGACCUUUUCAAGUUUGCACCAAGUGCGAUACGUGAAACACAUGAAAAUCCUCCGUCCACUGGCCCCAGAGAUGAUUGACGGCAGGAUGCUGGAGAAC